rnacentral:rRNA from 1 species
UACGUAGGGGGCGAGCGUUGUCCGGAUUCAUUGGGCGUAAAGAGCUCGUAGGCGGUUCGGUAAGUCAGGUGUGAAAUCUCCACGCUCAACGUGGAGGGGCCACCUGAUACUGCCGUGACUCGAGUCCGGUAGGGGAGUGUGGAAUUCCCGGUGUAGCGGUGAAAUGCGCAGAUAUCGGGAGGAACACCGGUGGCGAAGGCGGCUCUCUGGACGGUGACUGACGCUGAGACGCGAAAGCGUGGGGAGCAAACAGG